GACGAACGCUGGCGGCGUGCUUAACACAUGCAAGUCGAACGGAAAGGCCCUGCUUUUGUGGGGUGCCCGAGUGGCGAACGGGUGCGUAACACGUGAGUAACCUGCCCUUGACUUUGGGAUAACUUCAGGAAACUGGGGCUAAUACCGGAUAGGAGCUCCUGCUGCAUGGUGGGGGUUGGAAAGUUUCGGCGGUUGGGGAUGGACUCGCGGCUUAUCAGCUUGUUGGUGGGGUAGUGGCUUACCAAGGCUUUGACGGGUAGCCGGCCUGAGAGGGUGACCGGCCACAUUGGGACUGAGAUACGGCCCAGACUCCUACGGGAGGCAGCGGUGGGGAAUAUUGCACAAUGGGCGGAAGCCUGAUGCAGCAACGCCGCGUGCGGGAUGACGGCCUUCGGGUUGUAAACCGCUUUCGCCUGUGACGAAGCGUGAGUGACGGUAAUGGGUAAAGAAGCACCGGCUAACUACGUGCCAGCAGCCGCGGGGAUACGUAGGGUGCGAGCGUUGUCCGGAUUUAUUGGGCGUAAAGGGCUCGUAGGUGGUUGAUCGCGUCGGAAGUGUAAUCUUGGGGCUUAACCCUGAGCGUGCUUUCGAUACGGGUUGACUUGAGGAAGGUAGGGGAGAAUGGAAUUCCUGGUGGAGCGGUGGAAUGCGCAGAUAUCAGGAGGAACACCAGUGGCGAAGGCGGUUCUCUGGGCCUUUCCUGACGCUGAGGAGCGAAAGCGUGGGGAGCGAACAGGCUUAGAUACCCUGGUAGUCCACGCUGUAAACGGUGGGUACUAGGUGUGGGGUCCAUUCCACGGGUUCCGUGCCGUAGCUAACGCUUUAAGUACCCCGCCUGGGGAGUACGGCCGCAAGGCUAAAACUCAAAGGAAUUGACGGGGCCCCGCACAAGCGGCGGAGCAUGCGGAUUAAUUCGAUGCAACGCGUAGAACCUUACCUGGGUUUGACAUGGAUCGGGAGUGCUCAGAGAUGGGUGUGCCUCUUUUGGGGUCGGUUCACAGGUGGUGCAUGGCUGUCGUCAGCUCGUGUCGUGAGAUGUUGGGUUAAGUCCCGCAACGAGCGCAACCCUUGUUCACUGUUGCCAGCACGUUAUGGUGGGGACUCAGUGGAGACCGCCGGGGUCAACUCGGAGGAAGGUGGGGAUGACGUCAAGUCAUCAUGCCCCUUAUGUCCAGGGCUUCACGCAUGCUACAAUGGCUGGUACAGAGAGUGGCGAGCCUGUGAGGGUGAGCGAAUCUCGGAAAGCCGGUCUCAGUUCGGAUUGGGGUCUGCAACUCGACCUCAUGAAGUCGGAGUCGCUAGUAAUCGCAGAUCAGCAACGCUGCGGUGAAUACGUUCCCGGG
rnacentral:rRNA from 1 species